rnacentral:lncRNA from 1 species
UUUGUCUGCUGCUCUGCAGUUUGGUUGCCAAGGAACACAUCCCUGAGGCUCCUCCAGGUCAGGAGUAGGGGCCUGUCUGGGCUAUACAACAUUCCAGAAGGGAGAUGGGUUCCCACACCCAUUUAGCUCUUCACUGAUGUGGGACUUUGACAUGAUUCCCUUUUGUUGCCAUGUUACGGUGCUCACUGGACAUCCUACAUGACCUAUUACCCUAAUCCCUCUAACCCCAGGAAAUGCCUCUGCCUUCUCUUCUCUAGAAUGGGCUGUGUUGUCAGAAAUCACACGGAUGAUGCUGUUGAUGCAGGGAGGUGCUGUCAAUACUCAGCUAACAAUCUGACCUGAAAUACUCACAUGUUCAGUCAAUAUCCACCUCAAAUUCUAGUUUGAAUGCCAAAAUCCUUUUUCCUACUGUGGGUACCUAUGUUUCAGUCUUGCCACAAGCCACUGAAGGCUUGGGGAUUUGUUCUGCAUUCUGUCCCCUAACCCUCCUGGUGGCCAGUGUGCUGCCUGACUCCGUGUCCCUCCUCUGUUCCUCCUCAGGGUAAAAAUGCCUCAACCGUGAAUAAGAAUGAGACCAGUGUGGUGUGGACCAUCCAGGCAGGCUUGCUGGAUAAGCAAGUGUAGCAUCCUGUGCCUGUCUUCCUGGGCAGAGACCGCUGCCCCCCCGCCCCCAUGUCUCCAUGUUCCUGGACAUGUACAGAACUUUUCCACUACUGAAAAGGUGCUGGAUCUGUUGAUUCCAAGGUGAGCACCCUGCCUCUCCACAGCCCCACUGAAUGUGGCCACUUACAGGCUUUGAGUCUUGGGAAUGUCCCCAAACCUCCCCAAGUCUCAGUCUGUUCCUCAGAUGGGGGCAGAGUUAUUAUAGGGACCCAGUGGGGCCCUGCAGGGAAAGUGCACCUGACAUUGUGGAACGGUCUGCUGGCAGGGCUGUGGCUGUGCUGGGUUAUUAUUGUCCUCUUCCCCAUGAUGACGUUUCUGCCUCAUCUGUCACUGUCACCAGGUCUUGAGCCGGGCCAUUUUCCCAUUUGAAAAGGAGAUUUGAGGCUCCAUCUGGGGGUCUGAAUCCUGGCUGAGACCAGAGCAGGGAUCCCUGGGGGUGAGCAGGUGGCCCCAGGCCCACUCAGAUAUCUGUGAUGGUGCUAGUUGAGGCCCAUUCAUUUAUCAAACAUACAGGAAGCUCCACCAGAUGCAGACACUUCUUUAGGAGCUGACUGUCAGCCAAGGCACAGAGCAGACAACACCCUGCCCUCUAGGGCUCCAUUCUACACAGGGGUCAGUGACACUACGUAUGACAAGAGGUAGCAUGCACAGGACAGGUGAUAUGAUGUCCUCCUGGCCUCCUGUAGGUAUGGAUGCAUCCUUCCUGAAAUGGGAUGAAGAUGGCAGGCCCCUGGAGCAGAAGAAAAUGUGAGUGGGCUUUAGACAAUGCAGGAGGGUCUUCCCCCUCCAAGAGGGCAGCGGGGGGGUGGGGCGGUGAGUUGGAAGGGCUCUGGACCCUGCAUCCCACACAUCUGCGAUUCCUUUGAGCGGGCAAAGGUCUGAGUGCUUCUCCUGGACGAGGAGAAAGGGGUUCUAGAGAGCCAUAGAUGAGGUGUGGGCACAGUGGGACAGCAGAGGGGGCCAGAGGACAGAGUCACCUCCUAAGAGAGUCCAACCCCAUCCUUUCCCACUCCCAGUCCUGCCUCCACCCCCAUCCUGGGACCCAGAACAAAGGGUGUGGGGAGCAUCACACUCACCAAUCUGGUGGCACUUCAACGGUGGGUGCUCAGCAAGUGCUUCGGAGACCCAGUGAGGGCUCAGGGACCAGCUGUCCCCCACCUUGUGGGAGAUUAGGGUCAGUGGGGGACACCCACAUGGAUGCGAAGUGAAUAAAGCAACAUGUAGGCGGAGGAGGUAAAGUUUGAGGUAUUAGGAGGGUCCUGAGAAGCCCUUCUGAGAGACGGGUUCCUUUGUUUCCUAUUUGUUCCGAUAUUCAUGGAGCACUGGUGUAUGCAGUGAGGACAAUGAACCGAACAGAUGCCACCCCUCCUUGCCCACAUGGAGUUGAAUUCCAGCAGGAAGUAGGCAGGCAGACAGAGCAAAGAGUCCUUCUCCAAGAAGGACAGAGAUGGCCCCAUCAUUGGUUAAGGGCUCCCAUUCAAAAUGGCUUUUUGCCAGCCUCUCCUCAGUGACCAGGACUAUCUUAGCAGGAGUGCCAAAUCAGAGGUGGACGAGGAGUAGGACCAGCCUCUGGACAGCUGGAGGCAUAGGAGCCCAGGUUCCCACUGGGUGCCCUGAGACACCAGUCUUGAUUCUUCUGCCCACUUCUGUAUCUCCAGGGCCAUCUUCUCCAUUCUGGGCACCUGGAUGGACAACUCCUCUCAGGAUUUUUUCCAACCUGCAGAAUUUCCCUGCCUGAAGAUGCUGCUGGCAUAUGUGGGGCUUAACAUGCUGGGCUCACGUCUGGAGCACCGUACGUCUGUUUUCCUCUCAUAGCUGGGACACAUGGAGCCCAAUGAGCCAGAGGUUGAGGGUGAGGAGAACUCAGGGUGGGCGAUGUGAGCAUGUGGAGGGGACAGGGUAGGCCACACAGAACAAGUAUCCUUAAGCUGUGUUUGGCUCAGGAGCCGUGAGUAGUCUCAGAUAACUGUCCCCAUGGUCUGCCAUCUGGGGAGACUUCCUGGGGGUGGGUGCUUGGACUCAGAAGACAUUGACUGGUGGGAGAGGUUUCCUUUAUUUGGAAGAGACAUGGAAAGGCAAUCAUGGUGAUGAUACUUUCUCUUCUUGAAGCUAUAGCACCCGUUCCGGAGCAGGAUCCAGAACCAACUCAAGAGCUAGCCCCAGCUCCUGCUGUGGUGCCUGCUGCAGCUUCAGAGCCCGAGGUGGCUGAAGCCAUCACUCCUGCUGGAGCUCAGCAAUUAGGAAAAGCAGUGACCCUCCCUGCAGUGUCAGAGCCCGUGCAAGUGGUAGUUAUAGCUCUGAUUCACUGUCAGGAGCUGGAAGAACCACCUGCACCUUUGGCAGCCGUGGAGCAUGAGCAGGCUCCAGCCCCAGCUACUGGGGUUCCGGAAGGACUAGAACAACCACUUGCUACAGCUGAACAACCAGCCUCAGCUCCCAAGCAGUGGCUCAUGUCGGCUGCAGCCCCAAAGGAUGGCUUCCCCUCCCCUGUC